rnacentral:lncRNA from 1 species
CAGUAAUAGAAGUGAAAGUUCAAGAACUCAGAAAGAAAAGUAAUUUAGAAAAAGUGUGGGUUUUUUAAGCCAAAGAAAUCAUAAAAAUGUGUUUUGAUUUAAUCCCUCUUUUUCUAGGUGGUCACUGACUGGAAUGGGUUAUGCAACUCUGAUUAUGUAUACAUACACAACAGGAAGGAUUUUUGUAUACAUAAGAGAGGGGAAAAAAAAUCAGACAAAAUGAUGCUGCUGCAUUGCUGGCUGGAUCAGAAAUCACGGUUUUACAUUAAGUGACAUGUUCUGACAAAGUGCUGGAUAUAGUGCAGAUAAAGCAAGACCAGAUGAGAAAAUGGAAAUCUUAGCAGCUUUAUAUGCUUUGAAAAUUUGGAGAACUCAAAGCAACCAGUGGGAGACCAGCUUUGGAAACUGUACUCUUCCAUGGCCUAAGAUUGGAGUUCCUUAAGGUUGGAUUAUAUAUGGAGAGGACCAGCAGCAGGGAUCCUGUAAUGUCAGAGAAAACAUGAAGGGCAAGCAGCAAUAGAAGGGCUUUUGUAUUAGU